rnacentral:rRNA from 1 species
GACAGAGGUGCCAAGCGUUAGGCGGAAUCACUGGGCGUAAAGGGUGCGUAGGCGGGUCUUUAAGUCAGGGGUGAAAUCCUGGAGCUCAACUCCAGAACUGCCUUUGAUACUGAGGAUCUUGAGUUCGGGAGAGGUGAGUGGAACUGCGAGUGUAGAGGUGAAAUUCGUAGAUAUUCGCAAGAACACCAGUGGCGAAGGCGGCUCACUGGACCAUUACUGACGCUGAUGCACGAAAGCUAGGGGAGCAAACAGG